AAACCAUAUUGCGGACACUUCUUUAAGAGGUCCUUGAAUCGCUCCCAUGUCUGAAACAAUGAUUUGAGCUCCAUAUGUAUGAAUGAGGAUAUCUCAUUAUGAAGCCU